rnacentral:rRNA from 1 species
CGCGUAGGUGGGGGGAUAAGUGGUUGGUGAAAGACCUGGGCUUAACCGAGGGAUUGCCAAUCAUACUGUUUUUCUAGAGUACGGUAGAGGAUAGUGGAAUUUCCGGUGUAGCGGUGAAAUGCGUAGAGAUCGGAAGGAACACCAGUGGCGAAGGCGGCUAUCUGGACUGAUACUGACACUGAGGCGCGAAAGCGUGGGGAGCGAACA